GAUGAACGCUGGCGGCGUGCCUAACACAUGCAAGUCGAACGGAGUAGCAAUACUUUAGUGGCGCACGGGUGAGGAACACGUAGCUCAUCUGCCCCCGAGCGCGGGAUAACGGGCCGAAAGGCCUGCUAAUACCGCAUAAGCUCCCGGUCUGUAGAGGACUGAGAGAAAAGGAGCAAUCCACUUGGGGAGGAGGCUGCGGCCUAUCAGGUAGUUGGUGAGGUACGGCUCACCAAGCCGACGACGGGUAGGGGGCCUGGAGAGGGUGACCCCCCCGACACCUGGGACUGAGACACGGCCCAGACUCCUACGGGAGGCAGGCAGUGAGGGAUAUUGCACAAUGGGCGCAAGCCUGAUGCAGCGACGCCGCGUGAGUGAAGAA
rnacentral:rRNA from 1 species